GACGAACGCUGGCGGCGUGCCUAAUACAUGCAAGUCGAACGCAGUGGGGACGGGUGAGUAACACGUGGGUAACCUCCCAUCAGAGGGGAUAACACUUGGAAACAGGUGCUAAACCGAUACUGAUGGAUGGACCCGCGGUGCAUUAGCUAGUUGGUGGGGUAACGGCUCACCAAGGCCACGAUGCAUAGCCGACCUGAGAGGGUGAUCCGCCACACUGUGACGUGGACACGGCCCGUACUCCUACGGGAGUCAGCGGUAGGGAAUCUUCGGCAAUGGACGAAAGUCUGACCGAGCAACGCCGCGUGAGUGAAGAAGGUUUUCGGGUCGGAAAACUCUGUUGUUAGAGAAGCGGUAUCCAACCAGAAAGCCACGGCUAACUACGUGCCAACCGCCGCGGUAAUUC
rnacentral:rRNA from 1 species